GGUGAACGCUGGCGGCGUGCUUGACACAUGCAAGUCGAACGGUAUGUGGCAACACAUAGAGUGGCGAACGGGUGAGUAACACGUGGGAACGUACCCUACGCAGGGGGAUAACUGACCGAAAGGACAGCUAAUACCGCAUAAGACCGAAAGGUGAAAGGUGCAAAUGCAUCGGCGAAGGAGCGGCCCGCGGACCAUCAGCUAGUUGGUGGGGUAAGAGCCUACCAAGGCGACGACGGUUAGCCGGCGUGAGAGCGUGGCCGGCCACAAGGACACUGAGAUACGGGUCCUACUCCUACGGGAGGCAGCAGUGCGGUAAUUUAGAUAAUGGAGGCAACUCUGAUCUAGCGACGCCGCGUGCAGGAAGAAGGUCUUCGGAUUAGUAACUGCUGUGGUAAGGGAAAAUGUCAUGUAGA
rnacentral:rRNA from 1 species